rnacentral:rRNA from 1 species
CCUACGGGGAGCAGCAGUGGGGAAUAUUGGACAAUGGGCGAAAGCCUGAUCCAGCCAUGCCGCGUGUGUGAAGAAGGCCUUCGGGUUGUAAAGCACUUUCAGUGGGGAAGAAAGCCUUGGGGCUAAUACCCUCGAGGAAGGACAUCACCCACAGAAGAAGCACCGGCUAACUCCGUGCCAGCAGUCGCGGUAAUACGGAGGGUGCGAGCGUUAAUCGGAAUUACUGGGCGUAAAGCGCGCGUAGGCGGUCUGAUAAGCCGGUUGUGAAAGCCCCGGGCUCAACCUGGGAACGGCAUCCGGAACUGUCAGGCUAGAGUGCAGGAGAGGAAGGUAGAAUUCCCGGUGUAGCGGUGAAAUGCGUAGAGAUCGGGAGGAAUACCAGUGGCGAAGGCGGCCUUCUGGACUGACACUGACGCUGAGGUGCGAAAGCGUGGGUAGCAAACAGGAUUAGAUACCCUAGUAGUC